GUGGUGGUGGCUCAGUGGUAGAGCGCUUGCCUUGCAAUGCUUGAGGCCCUGGGUUCGAUUCCUCAGCACCACA
rnacentral:tRNA from 1 species